rnacentral:rRNA from 1 species
UACGUAGGUGGCAAGCGUUGUCCGGAUUUAUUGGGCGUAAAGCGCGCGCAGGCGGUCCUUUAAGUCUGAUGUGAAAUCUUGCGGCUCAACCGCAAGCGGUCAUUGGAAACUGGGGGACUUGAGUACAGAAGAGGAAAGCGGAAUUCCACGUGUAGCGGUGAAAUGCGUAGAGAUGUGGAGGAACACCAGUGGCGAAGGCGGCUUUCUGGUCUGUAACUGACGCUGAGGAGCGAAAGCGUGGGGAGCGAACAGG